rnacentral:rRNA from 1 species
CCUACGGGAGGCAGCAGUGAGGAAUAUUGGUCAAUGGGCGCGAGCCUGAACCAGCCAAGUAGCGUGAAGGAUGACUGCCCUACGGGUUGUAAACUUCUUUUAUAAAGGAGUAAAGUGAGGCACGUGUGCCUUUUUGUAUGUACUUUAUGAAUAAGCAUCGGCUAACUCCGUGCCAGCAGCCGCGGUAAUACGGAGGAUGCGGGGGUUAUCCGGAUUUAUUGGGGUUGAAGGGUGGGUAGGGGGAUUUUUAGGCAGGAGGGAAAACGUCCGGGCUCAACCCGGGACUGCCGUUGAAACUGGGGAGCUUGAGUGGGCGAGAAGCAGGCGGAAUGCGUGGUGUAGCGGUGAAAUGCAUAGAUAUCACGCAGAACUCCGAUGGCGAAGGCAGCCUACUGGCGUGCGACUGACGCUGAGGCACGAAAGUGUGGGGAUCGAACAGGAUUAGAUACCCGGGUAGUC